CAACACGAUACACACAUCAACACUGAGCAGCACCCCCACACGCUCGUGUGAGUACGCGGCCGGUUACCUCUCUUGCCCACCCGAUAAAAGGAACCCCCCCUCCCCUCCCUCCCCCCGAAAAAAAAGGAGAAGUCACAGAAACCCGUGCAAAUGGAAGAGAAGCAGGCCUUUUUCGUAGAGAGCACGGAUGGGCGCAAGUUCAAGAUGGUCAUCCGCGGCGAUCUGGGCAAGCUCAGCGUCGCCAAGAUUCGCCGCUACCUGAAGUCCUACGGUGUACCAGAGAACCAGCUCCUGCUUGCCGGCAACCGUGUGCUGGAGGAUUCCAUGCUGGGUGAGCAGUUUGGCUUAGAAAAUGAAGGCGUGCUUCACCUACAGGAGCCGACCACUAUGCGACCUUUAGCACCUGCCGCUGUCCCGCCCACUACACAGAGCAGAGCCCAGCUCCAACAGAAACCACAACUGUCGUACGGGCCCCAGUCGGCGCGGCGCGAGACGCAGUAUGAGCCCGCCACGAACGACGCCCGGCAGAUGGAGCGUGAGAUAGAGCGGUUGCAGCGGCAGGUGGAGGCAGCAGAGGCGCGCAACGCGGACCUGGAGCACCAGCUGGCACAGGUAGCCAAGCCAUCAGCAGCAUAUCCACCUCGAGGCGGAGCUGAUGGUGCGCGAAGAAUGAGCGAGUCCAGCGACUUGGACGGGCUGCAAGUGGCGAAGGAGAGUCUGAAGAUAUUGGCGCAGAAGCUGGGGGUCUCGCUGCAAUUUGACAAGAAUCUGACGUGUGUAGUAGGGACAGACGCGGACUUCUCCCUCUUGCUUACCUACGACCCCGCGACCGAGCGGCUGUACAUUUACUCGUCGCUUCUCACGGAACUCCCAGACCACCCACCGCUGCGCAUGAAGCUGUACGAGGUACUUCUCGAGGGGUCGCUGCUAGGUCGCGAGGUCUGCGGCGGCGGCGUCGGUCUGUCGACGCAGAACAACGUCGUCGUGCUCACAACGUCUCUUCCGGUGCGUCACUGCAGUCCGGAAGCGCUUUGUGAGGUGAUGCCGCUCUUCGUCGAGACGCUUGUGCGCUGGCGAAGUCUUAUCGACGAGCUCUUGCGGUAGCCUAGUAGAGGCGCACGGUGCAGGCCAGAAGGACACGCGGGGGGGGGGCAAUCACGGGAGACGCAUGCGAGCACGUGUGCGCUCAGAAAGAGAGCGCGCGCUGGCGUGCCAGCCUUCUUCGACGAGAGGAAUUUCCGGCGGGCCCUGAAUAUUCUUCCGAGUACGUGAGAUGAAGGCGAGAGAGUGUGUAUGUGUGUGUGUGGGGGGGGUCCCGGUGCGGCGUUUUGCUGCCUUUGGAGUGUAGAACGCCCUUCUUCUCCUUGCUCACAGCAGUGUCGUCCUUUUCUCCUGCGAAGGCGGUGCAGGGGCAUACUCGUCUCCAUGCCGCUUCUUUUUUGUCCUCAUCGUGCACGCGUUGCGACUUCUGUGAUGAUUUCCAGAGCGUUGCCCCUUAUAGAUCACCCUCUACCGACUCCACAUUCCAGCGGGCGGAUGCAAUUCGUCCCUACAGUGAGUAAGGGCGAAUUCCUCGCUCGUCAUCGAAGGAGGCGGCAAACUACCCGUCGUGCAGUCAGGUGUGCCGGCGUGUGCGGGUUUAUGCUCCUUCUACCCCGCAUGUGCCGCACCCCCCCCAUUCGCCGAACGCUCUGCAGCCUGUUCGCUUCGCAGCUCCCUUAUUCAUUGCAUUUCUAUCCGCCCUUCUUCCGUCUCUUCAUCGCUCCAUGGCUCCUUCGGAUCCUCGUGGUUUCUCCGACUCCUUGUUUUCUCUCCGGCACACCAUCUCCUGUCUCUCUGUUUCUCUCCCAAUUCGCGCGAUCCCCGCGUCUGUAG
rnacentral:misc_RNA from 1 species